UGGCCGCAGUACUUUAACUGUGCAAAGGUAGCAUAAUAAUUUGUUUUUUAAUUGGAAACUUGUAUGAAUGGUCAUACGAGGGAUUGACUUUCUUUAUCUUAUAUUAAUUAAUUUUAUUUCUCUGUGAAAAAGCAGAGAUGUAUUUAUUAGACGAUAAGACCCUUUAAAACUUUAUUUAUUAUAAAAGCAUGAGUUUUUAGUUGUUUUUUUGUGCUAUUUUUAGUGAAUUUUGUUGGGGCGACAGGUAAAUUUAUUGAACUUUACUUUUUUAUAUCACAAAUUAGUGUUUGUUUGAUCCAGGUUUAUGUUCUGAUUAAAAGCUUAAGUUACUUAA
rnacentral:rRNA from 1 species